GGAGGUCCGAACCCACGAGCGUUGAAAAGCUCGGGGAUGACUUGUGGGUAGCGGUGAAAUUCCAAUCGAGCCCGGAGAUAGCUGGUUCUCCCCGAAAUAGCUUUAGGGCUAGCCUCAAGGUGAGAGAUACGGAGGUAGAGCACUGAAUGUCCUAGGGGGUAUUGCACCUACCGAAGACUAUCAAACUCCGAAUGCCGUCAUCUUAUACUUGGGAGUCAGACUGUGGGUGAUAAGAUUCAUAGUCGAAAGGGCAACAGCCCAGAUCGUCAGCUAAGGUCCCUAAAUGUAAGUUAAGUGGUAAAGGAUGUGGGAUUGCACAGACAACCAGGAUGUUGGCUUAGAAGCAGCCACUCAUUCAAAGAGUGCGUAAUAGCUCACUGGUCGAGUGAUCCUGCGCCGAAGAUUUCCGGGGCUAAAACUUACUACCGAAGCUACGGCAUCAGUAAUGAUGGGUAGGGGAGCUUCCCAUACGGGUUGAAGCAUGACCGUAAGGACAUGUGGACAGUAUGGGAGUGAGAAUGUUGGCAUGAGUAGCGAGAUGUGGGUGAGAAUCCCACAGGCCGUAAACCCAAGGUUUCCAGGGGAAGGUUCGUCCGCCCUGGGUUAGUCGGGACCGAAGCUGAGGCCGAAAGGCGUAGGGGAUGGACAACAGGUUGAUAUUCCUGUACUACCGAUAACCGUUUGAGAGA
rnacentral:rRNA from 1 species